GAUGAACGCUGGCGGCGUGCCUAAUACAUGCAAGUCGAGCGAACGGACGCUAAGCUUGCUUCUCUGAUGUUAGCGGCGGACGGGUGAGUAACACGUGGAUAACCUACCUAUAAUACUGGGAUAACUUCGGGAAACCGGCGCUAAUACCGUAUAAUAUUUUGAACCGCAUGGUUCAAAAGUGAAAGACGGUCUUGCUGUCACUUAUCGAUGGAUCCGCGCUGCAUUAGCUAGUUGUUAAGGUAACGGCUUACCAAGGCAACGAUGCGUAGCCGACCUGAGAGGGUGGUCGGCCGCACUGGAGCUGGAUCACGGUCCAGGCUCCUACGGGAGGCAGCAGAAGGGAAUGUUACGCAGUGGGGGAGAGCCUGACGGAGCGACGCCGCGUGAGUGAUGAAGGUCUUCGGAUCGUAAUACUCGGUUAUGAGGGGUGAACAUAUGUGUAAGUAACUGAGCACAUAUUGACGGUACCUAAUAAGAAAGCAACGGCUAACUACGUG
rnacentral:rRNA from 1 species